GCCUCACGUCGGCCGGCUUGCCGGGGCCGGGCUCCACCGGCGUGAACUCGACGCGAACGGUGGACUUGCCCUUCGGCAGCAAUUCGGAUGACUGGAUCCGCGCAUGGUCCACUUCGAAGAAGUUAUAGUAGAAGGUCGGCUUGCCGUCCUUGAUAUACAGCGACCACCCCGACGUGAUGCCGCCGAUGGCGGCGAGGACACCUUCACCGCCGGCGUCCUCGACCUCCACAUCUGCCGUGAUGCUAAAGGGGAGGCCGUGGGUGUUCAGGACGGCGGAUUCGCUGAGGCCGGUCACACCUGGCCCGUAACUGAAUUUCUUGAGACCGGCCAGCGGAUUGGGCCGCAACCCCGCAGCAAAGCGUUCGGCCAAUCGGUCAUCAAGGGGCAGCACAUUGUAUUUCUUC
rnacentral:misc_RNA from 1 species